rnacentral:rRNA from 1 species
UACGUAGGGGGCUAGCGUUGUCCGGAAUCAUUGGGCGUAAAGAGCGUGUAGGCGGUCCGGUAAGUCCGCUGUGAAAGUCGGGGGCUCAACCCUCGAAUGCCGGUGGAUACUGUCAGGCUAGAGUGCGGAAGAGGCGAGUGGAAUUCCUGGUGUAGCGGUGAAAUGCGCAGAUAUCAGGAGGAACACCUAUUGCGAAGGCAGCUCGCUGGGACGUUACUGACGCUGAGACGCGAAAGCGUGGGGAGCAAACAGG